CAAUAGCGUAUAUUAAAGUUGUUGCAGUUAGAACGCUCGUAGUCGGAUUUCGGGGCGGGCCGACCGGUCUGCCGAUGGGUAUGCACUGGUCGGCGCGUCCUUCCUUCCGGAGACCGUCCCUACUCUUAACUGAGCGGGGGCGGGAGACGGGACUUUUACUUUGAAAAAAUCAGAGUGUUUCAAGCAGGCAGCUCGCUCUUGCAUGGAUUAGCAUGGGAUAAUGAAAUAGGACUUUGGUGCUAUUUUGUUGGUUUCGAACACCGAAGUAAUGAUGAGAAGGGACAGUCAGGGGCACUCGUAUUCCGCCGAGAGAGGUGAAAUUCUCAGACCAGCGGAAGACGAACCACUGCGAAAGCAUUUGCCAGGGAUGUUUUCACUUA
rnacentral:rRNA from 1 species